rnacentral:rRNA from 1 species
UACGAAGGGGGCUAGCGUUGUUCGGAAUUACUGGGCGUAAAGCGCGCGCAGGCGGCCAUUCAAGUCAGGGGUGAAAGCCCAGAGCUCAACUCUGGAACUGCCCUUGAAACUGUAUGGCUUGAGUAUGAGAGAGGUGAGUGGAAUUCCCAGUGUAGAGGUGAAAUUCGUAGAUAUUGGGAAGAACACCGGUGGCGAAGGCGGCUCACUGGGCUCAUUACUGACGCUCAGGCGCGACAGCGUGGGGAUCAAACAGG